GCAUUGGUGGUUCAGUGGUAGAAUUCUCGCCUGCCAUGCGGGAGACCCGGGUUCGAUCCCCGGCCAAUGCA
rnacentral:tRNA from 2 species